CUCUUUGCACUUUGACCUCCGACUGACCAGUAGCACGAGGUCGGUCGGUAGGUUAGGUGGUAGUCCUGGAAACCACGACUGACCCAAGUUAUUUGACUCUAUUUGUAUUCAUGCGCCUUUGGAGACUCGCCUUUGUGGAUCCCCAAGGCCUCGUCUGGCACUUGACUGGUAGACAGACUGUGUAUUUGCACUUUCCUUUUACCAUCACAAGGAUGGAUGAGACGAGAGAGGUGAUGGGGAAGAGCAUGCAAUGGGAGAGAGAGAGCCGAAUGCUGGACGCAUGAGGAUGAUGCAACAUGAUGAGGACGAGCGCUGCCUGCGGGGGAUGGGACAGCAUGGGACGGAGACGAGGACAGGAGACGAGGAGGGCAAUGAGGACAGGAGACGAGGACAGGGCUGGGCUGGACUGGCCACCUGGCAUAGCGGGCAUUUUCCGGUGGGCCCUGCACCCUCAUGGGCCCCUAUUUUCAGAAAUGAAAAAAAAAAGAUUUUCUGAAAAUAGGGGCCCAUGAGGGUGUGGGGCCCACCGG